rnacentral:piRNA from 1 species
UCAGACGCUGAGGUCCCUCCGACGGCCCUGC